GAAGUCGAUGAAAACGGAAGAGCAAAUGCUCUAGUAAGGAGAAGCUGGGAAGGGGCCGUGUGUGGACUUCUAGGUCAGGGGCAGUUCAACGAUCUCUGAUUCACAUGAGAGCGGAGCCAGUCUUUGCAGUGGGAAAAUUGAUGAUGCAUCACAGCACAAACAAACAAGCUUCUCAAAGGAUGGGUCACAUGUCGAGAGAGCUGAAAAGCAAGAGCAGACAGGCUCUGGAGAAAGCCCAGUGAAGGAUUUUCUGAAGAAGAGAGCCUGCUUCCUGGAAAGCAGUCAGGAUUGUAUAGAACCUUUUCUGGACCACCUGCUUGGAACACCUUCCUGGCUUCUGCUCCCCAGAUGCCUGUCCCAGGCCUCAGAGAGCUCUUGGAAUUGGCCACUCCAGAGGGGUGAAGAUGCCCUGGUGGUGGUGGUGGUGUUCCAGAAAGGGGCGGGGCCUGCAGAACAGCCAGAAGACGUCAAUGUAGUGAACACGUGGCUGCUGCCAAUUUCCACAGCUAUGUGCCUGGGCCUGCCAGGCAGAACUUUGCCUCCAUGCCAUUCUUCAUGCUGUUAAUCUACUGAAAACACCCUCUUCUCAUUUCUCUACUUGCUACGUUUUCUCUUCUAUUACAAUUUCUUCUCAAGUUUUGUCUGCUCCCCAAAUCUUGGUGAUCGGUUUUCCCAGCCUGGUCAUCUGAUGGAACACCUUUGAACCGAACAUCUUGCACCUGAUGUGCUUCAGUAUAUCUAUCUAAGUCCUGAAACCUCCUGUAAUGACUUCCAAAUUUUUGGAGUAAAAAGUUAUUUUUUCUUAUAAUAAGAGUAUCAUAUGCCUAUUUUAGAAAAAUUGGAAAAUGAAGACAAGUGCAAAGAAGAAAUUUUGAAUCACCUUUAAUUCCAUCAUUUUAUAAGACCCCCCUCCUUCUCAUGUAAGAACAUUUCAUGGAUUGCCCACAAAAUGUUUGCCUUUUUAGUAUUUUGAUUAAAAAGUUGUAUAAUGAACACAA